UGCAGCGACGCCGCGUGGGGGAGACGGCCUUCGGGUUGUAAACCCCUUUCAGCACAGACGAAGCGCAAGUGACGGUAUGUGCAGAAGAAGCACCGGCCAACUACGUGCCAGCAGCCGCGGUAAUACGUAGGGUGCGAGCGUUGUCCGGAAUUACUGGGCGUAAAGAGCUCGUAGGUGGUUUGUCACGUUGUUCGUGAAAACCCACAGCUCAACUGUGGGCGUGCGAGCGAUACGGGCAGACUAGAGUACUGCAGGGGAGACUGGAAUUCCUGGUGUAGCGGUGGAAUGCGCAGAUAUCAGGAGGAACACCGGUGGCGAAGGCGGGUCUCUGGGCAGUAACUGACGCUGAGGAGCGAAAGCGUGGGGAGCGAACAGGAUUAGAUACCCUGGUAGUCCACGCCGUAAACGGUGGGUACUAGGUGUGGGUUUCCUUCCUUGGGAUCCGUGCCGUAGCUAACGCAUUAAGUACCCCGCCUGGGGAGUACGGCCGCAAGGCUAAAACUCAAAGAAAUUGACGGGGGCCCGCACAAGCGGCGGAGCAUGUGGAUUAAUUCGAUGCAACGCGAAGAACCUUACCUGGGUUUGACAUGCACAGGACGCUGGUAGAGAUAUCAGUUCCCUUGUGG
rnacentral:rRNA from 1 species